rnacentral:rRNA from 1 species
CCUACGGGAGGCAGCAGUGAGGAAUAUUGGUCAAUGGGCGCGAGCCUGAACCAGCCAAGUCGCGUGAGGGAGGACGGCCCUACGGGUUGUAAACCUCUUUUGCCGGGGAGCAACGGGCGCCACGUGUGGCGUCACGGAGAGUACCCGGAGAAAAAGCAUCGGCUAACUCCGUGCCAGCAGCCGCGGUAUACGGGGGAUGGGAGCGUUAUCCGGAUUUAUUGGGGUUAAAGGGUUGGUAGGGGGAUCGUUAAGUAAGGGGUAAAAAUGAGGGGCUCAACCCCUUCCCGCCAUUGAAACUGGCGUUCUAGAGUGGAAGAGAGGUAUGCGGAAUGCGUGGUGUAGCGGUGAAAUGCAUAGAUAUCACGCAGAACCCCGAUUGCGAAGGCAGCAUGCCAGCUUCCGACUGACGCUGAAGCACGAAAGCGUGGGGAUCGAACAGGAUUAGAUACCCGAGUAGUC